AUGUACAUGCCUACAAUGUUAACCCACCAGAUUCCAUCAAAACUUUGUAGUAAGCGCGCUUGAGAUAGAGUAGUAUUGGGAUGGGUGACCUCUUGUGAAGUACAAGUGUUUUACAUG
rfam:Picea glauca, whole genome shotgun sequence.